rnacentral:lncRNA from 1 species
AGGUACAGAAGGUUUUAUUGAGAAUUGAGGUUUCAGUGAACUUCAGAUCUCUGAUGCCAGGAUAGAACCUUUGUAGGCAUUUCAAAUAUGUGAAAGUUUCCGAACAAAAAUUCAGAGACAAUCUAUACUGAGUAACACCCGAAGUCAUGUUGUAGCAACUGGAUUCUGAGGGGCUUUGUUUUCUGGAGUAUUUUUUUAAAGAAACCUACAAAUGUCUAGAUAUUUAAAGCUUUUAAAAAAGCACAAACACAUUGAGAAAACCAGGGGACAUCCUCACAAACAUGUGAAGAAUCCUUUAGUAUGUACAACUAAUGUGUGUCAGUGCACUACAAGACAGCUUAUGGAUGUUUAUGUGCAUGUAGAGCCCAUCCAUAAUUGUACACAGGUAAAUAUGUAGCCUUGGUUCAGUAGUUUUCAUGUAUGUGAGGGUAUUUCACAUUACAUCUCAGCGUUGACUCCUCUUGUUACUCUUAUGUGUAUUUUAAGUGUGAUGUUCUUUUAAAAUUGUAAUGCAUCUUUUUCUAUUUCCUGGCAUUUUUAAAUGAAUGUAGAUGUUACUGAACUAAUCCUUCAGAAAGAACCUAAAUGUGUUUUUGUAAAAUUUUCAACUGUCUCAUGGUCAGCCAAAUUUUACGUUAGGAACACAUUUAUUCAUAAGAAAAGACCAGAAUUAUUUUUAAAAACAGCUGGAAACACUCUAUAAUAAAAACAAAUAAUGCUAUGUAAAGAAGUAAUACUUAUCUUACUGUUGAUGUUUUAACAGAUUGCAGAGCUAUCUGCAUUAGAAUUUUGUAUGAAUGUUUUAAGAAUGUUGAUCACUACUUUUUUUCUUCAUAGUAGAAGCAACAUGGUAGUAGUUAAAAGUGUGGACUCUGGGCUCUUACUGCCAAGGCUCAAAUUCCAGCCUGGGGACUGCCACUUAACCUCUCUGUGCCUCUGUUUCCUUUUCUAUAAAAGAGAAGUGAUAACAUUAGGAUUGCUUUGAGGUAUAAAUGAGUUAAUAUUUUUAGAGCACUUAGAAUAGUGUCUGAGACACAAGUAAAGCAUAUGUUAGAUACUAUUAAAAUUAUAAUUUGUAUUUCUUGAGUUAUGCUGGAAAAAAAAGGUUGGCUACCAACAUGGAUCACUCACUUUAUUGCUAUAGUGCCUUGGUUUGGCUUGGUUGUGCAUUUUCCAACAAAUGAUUCAGAUAUUCAGAUGUGACCCAAAGCCCACUUUUGUAGCCUACAGCCAAGAAUGGUUUUACAUUUCUAAAUAGAUGGAAAAAAAUAAACACUAUUUUGUGACCUACGAAAAUUAUAUUCAAAUUUAUGCCCAUAAAUAAGAUUUUAUUAGAAAACUAAUAAAAAAAAAAAAACAUCUGUCUCUGUUUUGCCUGAGGCUGCCUUUAGCACUAAAAGAACAGAGUUGAGUAGUUCUAACACAGAUCAUAAGGCUCAGAGAGCCUAAAAUAGUUACUGCUGGCACUUUACAAAGUCAAAUUUUUCUGUUACCUAGAGCUGAAAACAUCAGAACAAUGUAUAGGAUGUACUUUUAUAUAGGUUAUGUGUUUGAGAAAUGCACACAGCAAUUUGUGGGUGGGUGGUUUUUGUGCAGUGUAUUUAUUUUGUACAUUGUAUUUAUAUGUUAAAAGCCUAAACAUUAGAAUUUUUUU